rnacentral:rRNA from 1 species
AACGAACGCUGGCGGCAGGCUUAACACAUGCAAGUCGAGCGCCCCGCAAGGGGAGCGGCAGACGGGUGAGUAACGCGUGGGAAUCUACCCAUCUCUACGGAAUAACGCAUGGAAACGUGUGCUAAUACCGUAUACGUCCUUCGGGAGAAAGAUUUAUCGGAGAUGGAUGAGCCCGCGUUGGAUUAGCUAGUUGGUGGGGUAAAGGCCUACCAAGGCGACGAUCCAUAGCUGGUCUGAGAGGAUGAUCAGCCACACUGGGACUGAGACACGGCCCAGACUCUUACGGGAGGCAGCAGUGGGGAAUAUUGGACAAUGGGCGCAAGCCUGAUCCAGCCAUGCCGCGUGAGUGAUGAAGGCCCUAGGGUUGUAAAGCUCUUUCGCCGGUGAAGAUAAUGACGGCAACCGGAGAAGAAGCCCCGGCUAACUUCGUGCCAGCCGCCGCAGUAACAC